CGUUCUCAGGGCGGGGUGCAAGUCCCCACCGGCGGUGACAGCCCGCGAGCGCCUUUCGGAUUAAUCCGGAAGGGUCAGCAGACACCGGUGAAACUCCGGGGCCGACGGUGACAGUCCGGAUGGAAGAGAAC
rnacentral:ncRNA from 1 species